rnacentral:rRNA from 1 species
UUGAGGGCCCGAGUUGUAAUUUGUAGAGGAUGCUUCGGGUUUGGCACCAGCCUAAGUUCCUUGGAACAGGACGUCAUAGAGGGUGAGAAUCCCGUAUGUGGCUGGAGGUCUAUACCCAUGUGAAGCUCCUUCGACGAGUCGAGUUGUUUGGGAAUGCAGCUCAAAAUGGGUGGUAAGUUUCAUCUAAAGCUAAAUACUGGCGGGAGACCGAUAGCGCACAAGUAGAGUGAUCGAAAGAUGAAAAGCACUUUGGAAAGAGAGUUAAAAAGUACGUGAAAUUGUUGAAAGGGAAGCGCUUGCGACCAGACUUGCCCUCAGUUGAUCAGCCGGUGUUCUGCACCGGUGCACUUGGCUGAGGUCAGGCCAGCAUCGGUUUAGGCGGUUGGAUAAAGGUUGUGGGAAUGUAGCUCUCUCCGGGGAGUGUUAUAGCCCACUGGCGACAUGCGACCAGCCUGGACCGAGGACCGCGCCCUUGUGGCUAGGAUGCUGGCGUAAUGGUCGUAAGCGACCCGUCUUGAAACACGGACCAAGGAGUCUAACAACUAUGCGAGUGUUUGGGUGUCAAACCCAUGCGCGUAAUGAAAGUGAAC